CCAGACUCCUACGGGAGGCAGCAGUGGGGGAUAUUGCACAAUGGGGGGAACCCUGAUGCAGCGACGCCGCGUGGGUGAAGGAGUAUUUCGGUAUGUAAAGCCCUAUCGGCAGGGAAGAAGCAAGACGGUACCUGACUAAGAAGCCCCGGCUAACUACGUGCCAGCAGCCGCGGUAAUACGUAGGGGGCGAGCGUUAUCCGGAUUCACUGGGUGUAAAGGGAGCGUAGACGGCCAAGCAAGCCAGGGGUGAAAGCCCGGGGCCCAACCCCGGGACUGCCCUUGGAACUGCUUGGCUGGAGUGCGGGAGGGGCAGGCGGAAUUCCUGGUGUAGCGGUGAAAUGCGUAGAUAUUAGGAAGAACACCAGUGGCGAAGGCGGCUUUCUGGACUGAAACUGACGCUGAGGCACGAAAGCGUGGGGAGCGAACAGGAUUAGAUACCCUGGUAC
rnacentral:rRNA from 1 species